GAUGAACGCUGACAGAAUGCUUAACACAUGCAAGUCUUUGGCGAAGCUGUGCUUGCACAGCCUAGCCAAGGCGGACGGGUGAGUAACGCGUAAGGAACUUGCCCUGCAGUCAGGGAUAACAGACGGAAACGACUGAUAAGACCUGGUAAAGUCAGGCGGACUCAUGUCCAGCCUGAUGAAAAGAGAUGCUGCAGGAGAGCCUUGCGUCCUAUUAGCUUGUUGGUGGGGUAACGGCCCACCAAGGCGAUGAUAGGUAGCCGGCCUGAGAGGGUGGACGGCCACAAGGGGACUGAGAUACGGCCCUUACUCCCACGGGAGGCAGCAGUGGGGAAUAUUGGACAAUGGGGGCAACCCUGAUCCAGCAAUUCUGUGUGCACGAUGAAGGUUUUCGGAUUGUAAAGUGCUUUCAGCAGGGAAGAAAAAAAGGACGGUACCUGCAGAAGAAGCGACGGCUAAAUACGU
rnacentral:rRNA from 1 species